rnacentral:lncRNA from 1 species
CGACCUCAUUUGAAUAUACUAUUUAUUCAUGUUGUCAGCACUGUUUCAUUACAGUUUCGUACCCUUUCAGUCUUAAACACUUUCUCAGUCGAACUUUUCUUUCUCCAAUUCGUCAAAAGUCGCUUUCGUCAGUACCCAAACUUACUAGCAAGUUUGUGUUGACAUUCGAAGUAAGACAUCAUCAUAGCAUCAAUUGAACAAGUUUACAAAAAGAAAGAUGAGAUUUGGAAAACUGAGAAUGGGACAUAAAAUAUCCCGUUGUCCUCCUGUGUACAGAAGAGAAAAA